AUUGAACGCUGGCGGCAGGCCUAACACAUGCAAGUCGAACGAGUGGCGGACGGGUGGAUAAUGUCUGGGAAACUGGCUGAUGGAGGGGGAUAACUACUGGAAAAGGUAGCUAAUACCGCAUACCAUCGGAUGUGCCCAGGUUGGAUGAGCUAGUAGGUGGGGUAACGGCUCACCUAGGCGACGAUCCCUAGCUGGUCUGAGAGGAUGACCGGCCACACUGGAACUGAGACACGGUCCAGACUCCUACGGGAGGCAGCAGUGGGGAAUAUGGCGCAAUGGGCGCAAGCCUGAUGCAGCCAUGCCGCGUGUAUGAAGAAGGCCUUCGGGUUGUAAAGUACUUUCAGCGGGGAGGCGUUACCCGCAGAAGAAGCACCGGCUAACUCCGUGCCAGCAGCCGCGGUAAUUC
rnacentral:rRNA from 1 species